AUGGCCUACGGGGGGCAGCAGUGGGGGAUAUUGCACAAUGGGGGGAACCCUGAUGCAGCGACGCCGCGUGGGUGAAGGAGCGUUUCGGCGCGUAAAGCCCUAUCGGCAGGGAAGAAGGAGGACGGUACCUGACUAAGAAGCCCCGGCUAACUACGUGCCAGCAGCCGCGGUAAUACGUAGGGGGCAAGCGUUAUCCGGAUUUACUGGGUGUAAAGGGGGCGCAGGCGGCAUAAUAAGUUAGAAGUGAAAUACCCAGAGCUUAACUCGGGUGCUGCUUCUAAGACUGUUGAGCUUGAGUGCGGGAG
rnacentral:rRNA from 1 species